rnacentral:rRNA from 1 species
UGACAAGGUGAGCGUGGGUCUAGCGGGGCCGAUUCGCUCAAUAAGGAGUCGAAUUCCAAAUCACUGGUGAACGUAACUACGACUGUUGCCUCGGUGGGAUCUCUGCCCCGGGUGCGUCGCAGCCCCGGACCAAGGCGCCCGCCGGAGGACCAACCAAAACUCUUUUUGUAUACCCCCUCGCGGGUUUUUUUAUAAUCUGAGCCUUCUCGGCGCCUCUCGUAGGCGUUUCGAAAAUGAAUCAAAACUUUCAACAACGGAUCUCUUGGUUCUGGCAUCGAUGAAGAACGCAGCGAAAUGCGAUAAGUAAUGUGAAUUGCAGAAUUCAGUGAAUCAUCGAAUCUUUGAACGCACAUUGCGCCCGCCAGUAUUCUGGCGGGCAUGCCUGUCCGAGCGUCAUUUCAACCCUCGAACCCCUCCGGGGGGUCGGCGUUGGGGAUCGGCCCUGCCUCUUGGCGGUGGCCGUCUCCGAAAUACAGUGGCGGUCUCGCCGCAGCCUCUCCUGCGCAGUAGUUUGCACACUCGCAUCGGCAGCGCGGCGCGUCCACAGCCGUUAAACACUCAACUUCUGAAAUGUUGACCUCGGAUCAGGUAGGAAUACCCGCUGAACUUAAGCAUAUCAAUAAGCGGAGG